CAGCAGCCACGGGAAUACGUAGGGUGCGAGCGUUGUCCGGAAUUACUGGGCGUAAAGGGCUCGUAGGUGGUUUGUCGCGUCGUCUGUGAAAUUCUGGGGCUUAACUCCGGGCGUGCAGGCGAUACGGGCAUAACUUGAGUGCUGUAGGGGUAACUGGAAUUCCUGGUGUAGCGGUGAAAUGCGCAGAUAUCAGGAGGAACACCGAUGGCGAAGGCAGGUUACUGGGCAGUUACUGACGCUGAGGAGCGAAAGCAUGGGUAGCGAACAGGAUUAGAUACCCGGGUAGUCCCUGUCUCUUAUA
rnacentral:rRNA from 1 species